AGCAGCCGCGGUAAUUCCAGCUCCAAUAGCGUAUAUUAAAGUUGUUGCAGUUAAAAAGCUCGUAGUUGAAUUUCGGAAUCUGUCCAUUGGUCGGGCUUUACUGUCCGUACUGGUGUGGUGGGUUCUUACCUUCUGAAUAACCAGCAUGCCAUUCACUUGGUGCGUUGGGGAAGCAGGACUAUUACCUUGAAAAAUUAGAGUGCUCAAAGCAGGCUAGUGCCUGAAUACAUUAGCAUGGAAUAAUAAAAUAGGACGGCAUGGUUCUAUUUUGUUGGUUUCUAGGAUCACCGUAAUGAUUAAUAGGGAUAGUUGGGGGCAUUAGUAUUCAAUUGUCAGAGGUGAAAUUCUUGGAUUUAUUGAAGACUAACUUCUGCGAAAGCAUUUGCCAAGGAUGUUUUCAUUAAUCAAGAACGAAAGUUAGGGGAUCGAAGACGAUCAGAUACCGUCGUAGUCUUAACCAUAAACUAUGCCGACUAGGGAUCGGACGAUGUUAAUUUUAUAAUGACUC
rnacentral:rRNA from 1 species